rnacentral:lncRNA from 1 species
UUUAAGGUGGUAGACCUAGGUUAAGGGAAAUAACUCUUAAAAUCAUCAGUACGUUUGUGUCAACCAUUUUCAAAAACAUAUUCUAAGCUUCUAGGUUACAUAGAUUAUUUUCAAUCUGUUUCAGGUAAAUGCUUAAAAUACAAUGGUUAACUUGACUUUUACAAACGCUUGACUGAUUUAAAGAGUUAUCUCCCUUAACCUAGGUCUACCUCCUUAA